rnacentral:lncRNA from 1 species
CUGAGGAGGGAGCGUGGCAGAGGGAAUGAUGGCCGUGGUGAUAUUGAGGAGGGAGCGUGGCAGAGGGAACGAUGGCCAUGGUGACACUGAGGAGGGAGCGUGGCAGAGGGAACGAUGGCCAUGGUGACACUGAGGAGGGAGCGUGGCAGAGGGAACGAUGGCCAUGGUGACAUUGAGGAGGGAGCUGGCAGAGGGAACGAUGGCCAUGGCUGACAUUGAGGAGGGAGCGUGGCAGAAGGAACGAUGGCCAUGGUGACACUGAGGAGGGAGCGUGGCAGAGGGAACGAUGGCCGUGGUGACACUGAGGAGGGAGCGUGGCAGAGGGAACGAUGGCCGUGGUGACACUGAGGAGGGAGCGUGGCAGAGGGAACGAUGGCCGUGGUGACACUGAGGAGGGAGCGUGGCAGAGGGAACGAUGGCCGUGGUGACACUGAGGAGGGAGCGUGGCAGAGGGAACGAU